rnacentral:tRNA from 1 species
GGAGGGGUGGUCGAGCGGCCAAUGGCAACGGGCUGUAAACCCGUCGACCUUCGGGUCUACGCAGGUUCGAAUCCUGCCCCCUCCA